CCUACGGGAGGCAGCAGUGAGGAAUAUUGGUCAAUGGACGAGAGUCUGAACCAGCCAAGUAGCGUGAAGGAUGACUGCCCUCUGGGUUGUAAACUUCUUUUAUAUGGGAAUAAAAUGUUCCACGUGUGGGAUUUUGUAUGUACCAUAUGAAUAAGGAUCGGCUAACUCCGUGCCAGCAGCCGCGGUAAUACGGAGGAUCCGAGCGUUAGCCGGAUUUAUUGGGUUUAAAGGGAGCGUAGGUGGAUUGUUAAGUCAGUUGUGAAAGUUUGCGGCUCAACCGUAAAAUUGCAGUUGAAACUGGCAGUCGUGAGUACAGUAGAGGUGGGCGGAAUUCGUGGUGUAGCGGUGAAAUGCUUAGAUAUCACGAAGAACUCCGAUUGCGAAGGCAGCUCACUGGACUGCAACUGACACUGAGGCUCGAAAGUGUGGGUAUCAAACAGGAUUAGAUACCCUAGUAGUC
rnacentral:rRNA from 1 species